GACGAACGCUGGCGGCGUGCUUAACACGUGCAAGUCGAACGGAAAGGCCCUGCUUUUGUGGGGUGCUCGAGUGGCGAACGGGUGAGUAACACGUGAGUAACCUGCCCUUGACUUUGGGAUAACUUCAGGAAACUGGGGCUAAUACCGGAUAGGAGCUCCUGCUGCAUGGUGGGGGUUGGAAAGUUUCGGCGGUUGGGGAUGGACUCGCGGCUUAUCAGCUUGUUGGUGGGGUAGUGGCUUACCAAGGCUUUGACGGGUAGCCGGCCUGAGAGGGUGACCGGCCACAUUGGGACUGAGAUACGGCCCAGACUCCUACGGGAGGCAGCAGCGGGGAAUAUUGCACAAUGGGCGGAAGCCUGAUGCAGCAACGCCGCGUGCGGGAUGACGGCCUUCGGGUUGUAAACCGCUUUCGCCUGUGACGAAGCGUGAGUGACGGUAAUGGGUAAAGAAGCACCGGCUAACUACGUG
rnacentral:rRNA from 1 species